UUCUCCUGGAAAACGGGUGGUAAUGCCGGAUGUUCCACAUGAUCGCAUGUGAUUGUGGGAAAGAUUCUAUCGGCGUGGGAUGGGGUCGCGUCCUAUCAGCUUGUUGGUGAGGUAACGGCUCACCAAGGCUUCGACGGGUAGCCGGCCUGAGAGGGCGACCGGCCACAUUGGGACUGAGAUACGGCCCAGACUCCUACGGGAGGCAGCAGUGGGGAAUAUUGCACAAUGGGCGCAAGCCUGAUGCAGCGACGCCGCGUGAGGGAUGGAGGCCUUCGGGUUGUAAACCUCUUUUGUUUGGGAGCAAGCCUUCGGGUGAGUGUACCUUUCGAAUAAGCGCCGGCUAACUACGUGCCAGCAGCCGCGGUAAUACGUAGGGCGCAAGCGUUAUCCGGAUUUAUUGGGCGUAAAGGGCUCGUAGGCGGCUCGUCGCGUCCGGUGUGAAAGUCCAUCGCUUAACGGUGGAUCUGCGCCGGGUACGGGCGGGCUGGAGUGCGGUAGGGGAGACUGGAAUUCCCGGUGUAACGGUGGAAUGUGU
rnacentral:rRNA from 1 species